AGUGAACGCUGGCGGUAGGCCUAACACAUGCAAGUCGAACGGCAGCACAGUAAGAGCUUGCUCUUACGGGUGGCGAGUGGCGGACGGGUGAGGAAUACAUCGGAAUCUACUUUUUCGUGGGGGAUAACGUAGGGAAACUUACGCUAAUACCGCAUACGACCUACGGGUGAAAGCAGGGGAUCUUCGGACCUUGCGCGAUUGAAUGAGCCGAUGUCGGAUUAGCUAGUUGGCGGGGUAAAGGCCCACCAAGGCGACGAUCCGUAGCUGGUCUGAGAGGAUGAUCAGCAACACUGGAACUGAGACACGGUCCAGACUCCUACGGGAGGCAGCAGUGGGGAAUAUUGGACAAUGGGCGCAAGCCUGAUCCAGCCAUACCGCGUGGGUGAAGAAGGCCUUCGGGUUGUAAAGCCAUUUUGUUGGGAAAGAAAAGCAGCAGGUUAAUACCCCGCUGUUAUGACGGUACCCAAAGAAUAAGCACCGGCUAACUUCGUG
rnacentral:rRNA from 1 species